rnacentral:rRNA from 1 species
UGGAUUUGACCGGACGCACCCGCGGGGUGGGGGGUAGUAAACCCGGCGAGGCGGAAUCGGAGGUCCUGAUGACGGGCAGGCAGUACGCUACGAGGUCGCUAGCGGUCCAGGACUCGUCGUGGUAGGUGGCUCUCGUCGGCAUUAGCCUAACUGGGCAGUGGGUUAUGGGGCACGCAGGGGCGAAGUUAUCGGCAGCACGGGUCUCAGAGAGCCGGCGACUGGCACACUACCGUGACGACUGGGACACGGUGCAGAAUCCUACGCGAGGCAGCAGAUGCGGGGAUACUGCGACAUGAUGGGCGUGUAGCCUGAUGCGAGCUGACGCCGCGUGGCGCGCAUGUCAGUGCCCUCGGGACGUAGAGUCGCUUUCGAUACGGGACGAUUAUGACGGUACGCAGCAGAAGUAGCACCG